GCAAGGAAUAUUGCGCAAUGGGCGAAAGCCUGACGCAGCGACGCCGCGUGAGGGAUGAAGGCCUUCGGGUUGUAAACCUCUUUUCCCAGGGAAGAAUAAUGACGGUACCUGAGGAAUAAGCCAUGGCUAACUACGUGCCAGCAGCAGCGGUAAAACGUGGGUGGCAAGCGUUAUCCGGAUUUAUUGGGCGUAAAGAGAGCGCAGGUGGUUUGGCAAGUCUGAUGUUAAAUCUCCCGGCCUAACUGGGAGGGAUCAUUGGAAACUGCUAAACUCGAGGGCGACAGAGGAAAGCGGAACUCCCGGUGUAGUGGUGAAAUGCGUAGAUAUCGGGAAGAACACCAGUGGCGAAGGCGGCUUUCUGGGUCGUUUCUGACACUUAAGCUCGAAGGCGUGGGGAGCAAACAGGAUUAGAUACCCCUGUAGUCC
rnacentral:rRNA from 1 species